UUCAGAACCUUCAGUAGCCAAGCGGCUUUCUAGGCCUCAGUCUCUCCCCUUCUUCCAUCUCGACACCUCUUCUGCCUCAGCUAAUUGCCAGAUGGUGGAGCACAGCGUUUCACUGUUUCUUCUUUGGAGGGCUAUCCCUCCCAGGUCACACAGGAGCCGCUUCUGCUCUCCCAGCCUGCCCUGAAGAAGUGGCAGUAGGCCAUUCACGAUGUCAAAGACGGAUCUACUGCUUACUCACUUCAAUGGAGAUGCGUCCACAUGAGGAACUAGUCCAAGUGAAAUUCACGUACACCUUCAGAAAGGCUGUGUGAGGUUGCAAGUUCCCAACUCUGUACUCUGUAGCCUGAAUCUACUAUAUCCAUCAUGCAAAUCUCAGAACUGCGGGAGAAGCGCUUCUUAAACAUCCUUUGGGAGAAGAAACACAUAUAUGAGAUGAACACAGGGAGUGCUGUACAGCUGAACUGAAUACUUUGUAUCUAAUGAGACAUUUUAGAAAAGAGAUGUCUAGGCUGAGACAAAAGCACAAAGUCAGGAAGGUUAGCCAAUCAGUUACUGUUUAUACUAAUGAAUUUUCUGAAUACUACACAAUACUUAGAAUAUAAUUCAUAAAUGUAUUUAAUAUAUAUGUAGAACGCUACAAUGAUUUUAAGGAUUUUACUUGAAAAUAGAGGAAUAAGUCAAAAAUCUGCAAGUUUAAGGAAUCGUUGCUCAGUCAUCACUGAGUCUUCUUCUAUAUGUAAGCAUCCCAAACUUGUAUUAAAAAAAAUGCCUGUAAUGAUAAAUUUCUUCCUUAUGUAACUUCCUCAGAGUUACUAAGUAAUUUCAGAUGCUAACUGGCAAAGCAUCCAGAGUUCAAGCCAAACUAUCUGUCUAUCCAGUUUGGUGAUUAACUAUGCAUACAGUAGCAUGUUCCCCUCUAAAGAGGGAACUUCAGACCUGUGUGCAGUGGAAAAAACACUGAGUCACAGGCACGGUUGUGGAAUGCAGCUUUGUUUGAACGGGAGCCAGCUGAAGGCAACAGGCAGUUUCCAUCCACUGAGUAAAGAGCAAACACCCCUGAAGAGUUACGUGUGAAAGUUAUGCAACGAUAAGAUCCAAAUUAUUUCAAGUCGUUCUUUGCCAAGCAAGCCUAAGGGAAAUCUCCUUGGCUGCAGACUGCACUUCUGAGCAUACUUUGAAGGCAAGCUGGAUGGUAUAUUGUGUAACAGUUAUUACCUUUGGAGACCGCAACCAUCUGGGCUCAACAUCCUCUUAGAAGGAAUAUAAGUAUGGCUGCCAAGGCCACACACUAUGAUCAAAAACAACUGAAAGAUAAAAACGAAGAAGAAAAGCAGAGAGAAUUUCCAAGUACUCAAAGCACUUACAGACAAAAAUUUCACACUAUUCAAAGGAAGUUAAUGUCUUUUUAUUCCUGUAUUUAACUACAAGAAAUAGUUUUUACAAGUAUGUUUUUCCUUUCUCUGAAUGAUGGAUGAGCCACCCAUGUUCUAGAAUUGUGACCUUGUCACCAGCCUUGUAGGGUUCUCUAAUUCCAAGUGCCUUUAAGUCCUAAUGGAGACUCCUCAAAGAACCACAAAACCAAACCUUUAUGAGUCCUUAGGAUCAACUCUAGCAAAUUUUGUGACACCAACUACCCUUUGUGGUGGCAACCCCUUACCACACAUACCAUAGCCCUGUAAACAGAGACUGCUCAUUCAUUUCCCGGCUGCCCAGACAUGAAUAAUCACACAGAAACUAUACUAAUUACAACACUGUUUGGCCGAUAUCUCAGGCAUAUUUCUAGCUAGCUCUUACAUCUUAAAUUAAUCUAUUUCUAUUAUUUUAUAUUUUACCAUGAGGCUUGCAGUUUGUUACCUCUUGCUUCUUAGGCAGCUAUAUGGCAUUUGGCUCCUUUGACAGCUACAUGGCAUCUCCUUGACUCUGCCUACUCUCUCUAUAUAUCUCUGUUUGGAUUUUCCACCUAGCUUUACUCUGCUAAGUCAUUGGCCCAAAUAGCUUUAUUCAUCAACCAAUAAAAAGCAACACAUAUACAGAAGGACAUCCUAUAUCAUGGCCCCAUUUCCUUUAUUUAUUAACAAAAUAAUAAAUCAAUUCUAGCUGCCACAGAGAAUGAUAGUUUUACUCAGGAAAACUCUGAAGUAUAGAAGGUUGAGGGGAAAGCUGAGUUCACCAAAGCACUUAAUUUUAGUCAUGUUGCAAGACAGCAACAAGCCAAGAAAUUAAUUGUUCUCAUCUUUAUGCAAACUCAGCCUCAAGCUUUCUAUAAAGUUUUCUUCAAGAGACGGGCCAGGUUUUCUUCAUAGAGGAAAACAAAUGUCCUGCCUGUGCUCUUAGAAGAAUAUGAACUUGGAGUAUUUGAGGGUCAGGGAGGACUGUGCUGCCAGCCAAGUAGUAUUUAUUGAGCACAGAUGACAAACCUGAACUAUACCUUCAGACGAAAAGUGUGUGAAUAACAGAUGCAUGUAUCCAUCUUCCCACUUAUCGCCCCAUUUGGAAAUCUCAUGACCCAUCAUGCCCAAAAUUGAAUCCAUUCAACUUCCAUUAAAAUAAUUCUUCCUUGUAAUUUUGAUCUAUGCCCAACAUACUACCCAUCCAACAGUUAAUUCUUUAUUCUUCUUUCUUGCACACUGCUUCUCCUUCUCCUACACGAUCUUGAACAAAUCUUGUGGUCAUAUUGUUUUCUGGUUUUAAUGGCAUUGCCUGAAUUACUACAGCAAUGACGUCCACUCUUGCUUUUUCUGAUUCAUUUUCCAUAGACUAUAGUCACCAUGACCUUCUGAGAGAUGAAGACAGAGAGAAACAGAGGUAAAAAGAGGGAAGGAAGAAGGAUAGAGUUUUUGAAGGGUCCUAAACACAGCAGGGUGCUCCAUCCUGGACCCUGGAUUAGGCACAAACCACACCCAAGCUUCUACUUUUACAGAGAGUUCCUUUAUUAAAUGGGGGAAGGGAGUACGGUGGCCAUUUCUGACACAGGCGAUUCACAGAUUAAUAAAAAUGGGUUAAUUUAAGAUAUAAGAGUUAGCCAGGAAUGUGCUAAGCCAUUGGUCAAGCAGUGUUGUAAUUAAUAUAGUUUCUGUGUGAUUAUUUGGGUCUGGGUGGCCAGGAACAAAAGAAUAGUCUCCAUUUACAAAACUAUGUUUGAAACCUUUUGGCUAUGGGACAUACAAUUGCUUAACACCCGAACUGCUAGAUUGGAUUGGGGAAUUAACAUUCAGUGGGCAAGAUUGCUCUUAUUGAAUAUGUGGCUGGCAUCAUAAGAAAUGAUUACAUAAUCCAAAAGGUAAAACUUGACUUCUGCAUAAAGGUGCACAACAUUAGUGAGUAUUGGCUCAUUUGUAUAGUGGCAGGAUUUAGGGAGAAGUUGACAUUGUGGCAGUGAGGAGAAACUCAAGAGAUUAGGUUCUGGGAGCUAGAAAUUAGAAACAUACGUGGGAGGGUUAGAAAAUGAUGUUCUCUUGAAAUGGAGUUAUCCUCACUCAGGUGAUCAACUAUGGAAUACUGCUCAGCUUUAAAGAAAAAUGAAAUCACGAACUUUGUGGUAAAUGGAUGGAACUAAAAAACAUAUUGAGUAAGCCCAACUUUCAGGCUGCGUUUCUCAAGAGGCACCCUAUAGUUGACAGGCCUAUUCAUUCUUGAAAUUAAACUUGUCUUCAGAAUGUCAACUUCCACUCAUACUGAUGCUCCUGGGAAUGUUCCACCACAGGCUGGUAAGCAUUAGUACCCUAAAGUGAGCCUUGCCACACACACACACACACACACACACACACACACACACACACACAGACAUGUGACAUGCACUGAGGCAUCUUUUGUCAUUUCUUUUGCUCCCAGACAUUACAAAUUCUGCCAGAGUUCCAUCCACAUGGUUCUGAGGCCUAAGUUGCUGGCUUAGCUUCUGUUUAAGUAGAUGAUGGCAAACUCUAAAACAAGAUGGACAAUUUGGAAGCUCCAGUAGCUCAGGCUGAAUUGUCAUCACCUCCAAAUCUGGCUCUACAAAUUCUACAAGUUUCUCAUUAGAGAAGUGUCUGCCACCAGUUUGGAAUUUUAAAGUAUCCCUUUUGAAUAUGGGUGAAUUAGUCUGGAUUCUCUAGCGUAAUAGAACUUAUAGAAUGAACCUCUCUAUAAAUAAAAUGGCACUGAUUAGAACAACCUUCAGGCUGUGGUCCAGCUAAUUCAACCAUGGUUGCCUAUGAACAGAAGGUCCAAGAGUCCAGUAGUUCUUCGGUCCAAGAGGUUGGAUAUCUUAACUGGUCUUCAAGUAUGCCAGAAUCUGGGAAACAUAGGUUCUAAUGCCAGUAAAGAAAUGGACUUGCUAGAUAAGAGCAAGCAGACAGAGUAAAGUGAAGCUUCCUUCUUCCAUGCCCUUCUAUAGGCUGCCAGCAGAAGGUAUAGCCCAGAUUAGAGUUGGGUCUUCUCACCUCAGAAGAUCUGUAUUAAAGGGUAUGAAUUCUUCUUCAAAGGGCAAAUGAAGAGGAAGAGAAAGAAGUAUCAAUGCUGGAAUCAUUCUAUUAAUAAUGAAGUUUCUUUGCUGUCCUGAUUUCACUUUUGGCUUAGACCUCCUUUGUCGAGCAUCUUUUCAGGAUUCAGUUCACCGGGCCCCUUUUAGUGGGCUUUGGUAGUAAUGAUAGAACAGCUAUUACCAGGGCCCCAUCUCUUUUAAAUCUGAACACUGAUGCAGGUUGUCUGCUGGGAGAAAGUUGGGAUUAAGCUAUCUGGGCAGCAGGACGCAGCCCGCUGCUCCUCUUACUACAUGUAGAUAAAGGAUCUCUUACAUAACAAAAGCUGUCUCAGAAAGCCCAUUAAGAAAAUGGGCAAUAAAGAGUCUGGAGAUUGUGUUGUCUACCCUGUGAACCAGUCUAAGGUAAGAGUCUAGGGAAGGAACAUAUGAUAAUUGACUUCUGUUUUAGAGGCUUUCUCUAUAGGCAGACAGAGGAAUUGCAGAGAAAAUGCAUCCCUGUACUUUGAAGGACAAUGAAAAGCAUAAAGUAUGAGAGAAGGGUGUAAUGGUCUGUCCAGUCCCUUUAAGAGACAAGUCCUGCCCAUUCUGCCCUCCUUCCAUGGGGCAAGUGGCUUUUCCUUCCACUUCCAGUCUCUCUUCUGAAGAAGUGGCUGCAGUCUCCUCUCUUCCUCUCUGUUUCGUUCCCUCUCUUUCUCUCUCCCCCUUCCCUUUUACUG